rnacentral:rRNA from 1 species
UACUCCUUAGGGGGGGCAGCAGUAGGGAAUCUUCCGCAAUGGACGAAAGUCUGACGGAGCAACGCCGCGUGAGUGAUGAAGGCUUUCGGGUCGUAAAACUCUGUUGUUAGGGAAGAACAAGUACAAGAGUAACUGCUCGUACCUUGACGGUACCUAACCAGAAAGCCACGGCUAACUACGUGCCAGCAGCCGCGGUAAUACGUAGGUGGCAAGCGUUAUCCGGAAUUAUUGGGCGUAAAGCGCGCGCAGGCGGUUUCUUAAGUCUGAUGUGAAAGCCCACGGCUCAACCGUGGAGGGUCAUUGGAAACUGGGGAACUUGAGUGCAGAAGAGAAAAGCGGAAUUCCACGUGUAGCGGUGAAAUGCGUAGAGAUGUGGAGGAACACCAGUGGCGAAGGCGGCUUUUGGUCUGUAACUGACGCUGAGCGCUAGCUACCUA